rnacentral:rRNA from 1 species
GACGAACGCUGGCGGCGUGCUUAACACAUGCAAGUCGAACGGAAAGGCCCUGCUUUUGUGGGGUGCUCGAGUGGCGAACGGGUGAGUAACACGUGAGUAACCUGCCCUUGACUUUGGGAUAACUUCAGGAAACUGGGGCUAAUACCGGAUAGGAGCUCCUGCUGCAUGGGGGGGGUUGGAAAGUUUCGGCGGUUGGGGAUGGACUCGCGGCUUAUCAGCUUGUUGGUGGGGUAGUGGCUUACCAAGGCUUUGACGGGUAGCCGGCCUGCGAGGGUGACCGGCCACAUUGGGACUGAGAUACGGCCCAGACUCCUACGGGAGGCAGCAGUGGGGAAUAUUGCACAAUGGGCGGAAGCCUGAUGCAGCAACGCCGCGUGCGGGAUGACGGCCUUCGGGUUGUAAACCGCUUUCGCCUGUGACGAAGCGUGAGUGACGGUAAUGGGUAAAGAAGCACCGGCUAACUACGUG